GUAGUUUUUUUUGACUGCACUAAUAGUUCGUAAACACCACACAGGAAGUAGGAAAAGAACUACAUUUCCCAUCUGCCCUGGCUGUCACAGGCUAAUAGCACCAGCUGCUUUCCAUUGCCCUAAUGAGUGAUUCUACUGCGGCAACGAGACCAAAUACAACGAAAGUAUUGAUGCUGCAAAAGAAGACGGAUCUUUUGGUAGGCUGGUUAUUGAUGACCACAAGCACCCAAAUGGCAGAAUGCAGAAGACUGAAGUGGAUGGAAGCCCACAUCUUGGUCUGUUUGCUUUAACAGACUUUAAAGAAGGUGAUGAAAUUGCCUACAAUUACAGAGGAGGAGACUGGCCUUGGUGCAGCAAGGUAAAACAUCUACUCUGAAAAAGAGGAAGGCUCGGGAAGGAAAUCAGGUCCAUGCAGUGGGGAGACAUAUGAAGACCUUCAUCAUGUCAUGUCGUGACCCAGGGAAGUUGGUCAGUGAAAACUGCAUUAGAUCUGAGUCUUUAUAUCUUAAAGAUAGAGACUGGCAAAGUGUCAAAUUCUAUGUCUAUAACUGCACUGUCGCUUACAAAAGAGAUAUAAACAAAGAUUAAUUACCACUUUGAUAGUAACACUUUACAUCUAUAUUACAGAUACUGUACAUCAUAACAUCUGUAGUAAUGCUUUAAUAAUAAGUUACAUUACACCUCUAGCCUUUUACUUUGUAAUGAAACACUCAGCAUUUACUUCAUCAUAAACUAAUCAGGAACAAAUCAGGCAUUUAAAAUAUCCAUUAGAAUCUUUACCUACACCGUUAUAUUGAAUUAGAUCAAAUUGGUUUGGGCCGCCUUCUUCCAGUGGGUCCUUAUGCAGGUGACUGACAAGUUCAUGAGUAAGCCUAUUGGGCAAUAAAAGCUUCAGUGUGCUACCCAUUUACAUGUUUAGACUGCCUGGAAUCAAAAUUAGCUACCUCAACAUACAUUAUUAAGUUGUUACUGUCACUUUUUAGCUUAGUCAGUUAAGUGGAUAUAGAAUUGUGUUUAUGACAUUUGGUUGUGUGUCUGUGUUUGGCUAGUAUCUUUAUUUUUCUCAAUAUGUUUAACUUUGAGCUGGCUAUAUGUAGUAAGCAGAAGUGUUAUGUCAAACUUAAAUGAGUCCAAGUUCAUUCAUGGCACAUGUGAGCUUAGUAGUUGUGCACUUUAAUGGGCAAAUAUUUGUUGUCUUUUACAGUAAAGAAGCUCAAGACUCAAGUUGUCUUUAUAAUGUUGAAUAGACAGGGUUUUUUCAUCUUACUGACAAUUUUUCACUUGAUUAGAGAUCCAGACCAAUAAACAAAUCCUUCAUGUAGCUAAAAUAUCAAAAGGAUGAGUUUCUUUGUCAUUUUGACUUGCCAAAAUGACUGGGGAUAGUGUUAAUUUGUGAUGCAUGCCUGUGAUAAAUAAGUGAGGUUCAGUACAGCUAGCACCUCUACUUUCUAUUCCACAAAAAAAAUUGUAUACUUUGGAGCAGGAAAUGAAAAGCUUCUUAGAAUUAUAGCCUCAAAACUAAUAAUAGCACUGGUACCACCUUCCUUAACAAGUUCCUAGGUUUCUCAAAGGGUUCCUCUGUUGGAAAUAGAAAGCUCCAAAAAAAUGUAGUCUGUUAUCUAUUACGUGCAGAUAUUGAAAUUUGUGUAAGAGAGCUUUUUGAUAACCAAACUUUCACUGAUAGCAUA